rnacentral:rRNA from 1 species
GACGAACCGUGCGAACGUUGUUCGGAAUCACUGGGCUUAAAGGGCGCGUAGGCGGCCAACUAAGUCAGACGUGAAAUCCCUCGGCUUAACCGGGGAACUGCGUCUGAUACUGGAUGGCUUGAGUUUGGGAGAGGGAUGCGGAAUUCCAGGUGUAGCGGUGAAAUGCGUAGAUAUCUGGAGGAACACCGGUGGCGAAGGCGGCAUCCUGGACCAACACUGACGCUGAGUGAGCGAAAGCCAGGGGAGCAAACGGG